UGAAUAUGGGGGGACCAUCCUCCAAGGCUAAAUACUCCUGACUGACCGAUAGUGAACCAGUACCGUGAGGGAAAGGCGAAAAGAACCCCGGCGAGGGGAGUGAAAAAGAACCUGAAACCGUGUACGUACAAGCAGUGGGAGCCCCACCACUAAGCCAGUGGUGAACUCCACAUACGCAUCCUUUGCUGAGGAUACGGUUAACGGAGCGAAAGCGACGUUCAACCGCAAAAGAAGCAGAGGGGGCUUAGUGGUGGGGUGACUGCGUACCUUUUGUAUAAUGGGUCAGCGACUUAUAUUCUGUAGCAAGGUUAACCGUAUAGGGGAGCCGGAGGGAAACCGAGUCUUAAUUGGGCGUUAAGUUGCAGGGUAUAGACCCGAAACCCGGUGAUCUAGCCAUGGGCAGGUUGAAGGUUGGGUAACACUAACUGGAGGACCGAACCGACUAAUGUUGAAAAAUUAGCGGAUGACCUGUGGCUGGGGGUGAAAGGCCAAUCAAACCGGGAGAUAGCUGGUUCUCCCCGAAAGCUAUUUAGGUAGCGCCUCGUGAAUUCAUCUCCGGGGGUAGAGCACUGUUUCGGCUAGGGGGCCAUCCCGGCUUACCAACCCGAUGCAAACUGCGAAUACCGGAGAAUGUUAUCACGGGAGACACACGGCGGGUGCUAACGUCCGUCGUGAAGAGGGAAACAACCCAGACCGCCAGCUAAGGUCCCAAAGUCAUGGUUAAGUGGGAAACGAUGUGGGAAGGCCCAGACAGCCAGGAUGUUGGCUUAGAAGCAGCCAUCAUUUAAAGAAAGCGUAAUAGCUCACUGGUCGAGUCGGCCUGCGCGGAAGAUGUAACGGGGCUAAACCAUGCACCGAAGCUGCGGCAGCGACGCUGAUGCGUUGUUGGGUAGGGGAGCGUUCUGUAAGCCUGCGAAGGUGGCCUGUGAGGGUUGCUGGAGGUAUCAGAAGUGCGAAUGCUGACAUAAGUAACGAUAAAGCGGGUGAAAAGCCCGCUCGCCGGAAGACCAAGGGUUCCUGUCCAACGUUAAUCGGGGCAGGGUGAGUCGACCCCUAAGGCGAGGCCGAAAGGCGUAGUCGAUGGGAAACGGGUUAAUAUUCCCGUACUUGGUGUUACUGCGAAGGGGGGACGGAGAAGGCUAUGUUGGCCGGGCGACGGUUGUCCCGGUUUAAGCGUGUAGGUGUGUGUUCCAGGUAAAUCCGGUUCACUUUAACACUGAGGCGUGAUGACGAGGCACUACGGUGCUGAAGCAACAAAUGCCCUGCUUCCAGGAAAAGCCUCUAAGCAUCAGGUAACAUCAAAUCGUACCCCAAACCGACACAGGUGGUCAGGUAGAGAAUACCAAGGCGCUUGAGAGAACUCGGGUGAAGGAACUAGGCAAAAUGGUGCCGUAACUUCGGGAGAAGGCACGCUGACACGUAGGUGAAGUGAUUUACUCAUGGAGCUGAAGUCAGUCGAAGAUACCAGCUGGCUGCAACUGUUUAUUAAAAACACAGCACUGUGCAAACACGAAAGUGGACGUAUACGGUGUGACGCCUGCCCGGUGCCGGAAGGUUAAUUGAUGGGGUCAGCGCAAGCGAAGCUCCUGAUCGAAGCCCCGGUAAACGGCGGCCGUAACUAUAACGGUCCUAAGGUAGCGAAAUUCCUUGUCGGGUAAGUUCCGACCUGCACGAAUGGCGUAAUGAUGGCCAGGCUGUCUCCACCCGAGACUCAGUGAAAUUGAACUCGCUGUGAAGAUGCAGUGUACCCGCGGCAAGACGGAAAGACCCCGUGAACCUUUACUAUAGCUUGACACUGAACAUUGAGCCUUGAUGUGUAGGAUAGGUGGGAGGCUUUGAAGUGUGGACGCCAGUCUGCAUGGAGCCGACCUUGAAAUACCACCCUUUAAUGUUUGAUGUUCUAACGUGGACCCGUGAUCCGGGUUGCGGACAGUGUCUGGUGGGUAGUUUGACUGGGGCGGUCUCCUCCUAAAGAGUAACGGAGGAGCACGAAGGUUGGCUAAUCCUGGUCGGACAUCAGGAGGUUAGUGCAAUGGCAUAAGCCAGCUUGACUGCGAGCGUGACGGCGCGAGCAGGUGCGAAAGCAGGUCAUAGUGAUCCGGUGGUUCUGAAUGGAAGGGCCAUCGCUCAACGGAUAAAAGGUACUCCGGGGAUAACAGGCUGAUACCGCCCAAGAGUUCAUAUCGACGGCGGUGUUUGGCACCUCGAUGUCGGCUCAUCACAUCCUGGGGCUGAAGUAGGUCCCAAGGGUAUGGCUGUUCGCCAUUUAAAGUGGUACGCGAGCUGGGUUUAGAACGUCGUGAGACAGUUCGGUCCCUAUCUGCCGUGGGCGCUGGAGAACUGAGGGGGGCUGCUCCUAGUACGAGAGGACCGGAGUGGACGCAUCACUGGUGUUCGGGUUGUCAUGCCAAUGGCACUGCCCGGUAGCUAAAUGCGGAAGAGAUAAGUGCUGAAAGCAUCUAAGCACGAAACUUGCCCCGA
rnacentral:rRNA from 1 species